GUGGGGAAUAUUGGGCAAUGGGCGAAAGCCUGACCCAGCAACGCCGCGUGAGGGAAGAAGGCCUUCGGGUUGUAAACUGCUUUUGUACGGAACGAAACGGUCCUGGUUAAUACCUGGGGCUAAUGACGGUACCGUAAGAAUAAGCACCGGCUAACUACGUGCCAGCAGCCGCGGUAAUACGUAGGGUGCGAGCGUUAAUCGGAAUUACUGGGCGUAAAGCGUGCGCAGGCGGUGCUGUAAGACAGGCGUGAAAUCCCCGGGCUCAACCUGGGAAUUGCGCUUGUGACUGCAGUGCUGGAGUACGGCAGAGGGGGAUGGAAUUCCGCGUGUAGCAGUGAAAUGCGUAGAUAUGCGGAGGAACACCGAUGGCGAAGGCAAUCCCCUGGGCCUGCACUGACGCUCAUGCACGAAAGCGUGGGGAGCAAACAGGAUUAGAUACCCUGGUAGUCC
rnacentral:rRNA from 1 species